rnacentral:misc_RNA from 1 species
GCUCCGUUGGUGAACCAGCGGAGGGAUCAUUACCGAGUUUCUCGACUCCCAAACCAUUGUGAACUUAUACCUAUCCUGUUGCUUCGGCGGGUUAGCGCCCCGGGCGGCCCAACACGCCGCCCGAACCAGGCGCCCGCCGGGGGAACCCAUCUCUUGUAUUUCAUACUUUGCAUGUCUGAUUGGAAUCAUAAACAAAUAAGUCAAAACUUUCAACAACGGAUCUCUUGGUUCUG